rnacentral:rRNA from 1 species
CAAGUCGAACGAAUCCCGGGGUAGCAAUACCUCGGGGGAAGUGGCGAAAGGGGCAGUAAUACCUGGAUAACCUACCCUGGGGAUGGGCAUAGCCGUUCUAACGAACGGGUAAUACCCAGCGAUUCGGCGGCGGUGGCAUCACCGCUCCGGGAAAUGAGUUUCGCCUCGGGAGGGGUCCAGGCGCUAUCAGCUAGUUGGUGGGGUAACGGCCUACCAAGGCUUAGACGGCUAGCGGGUGUGAGAGCACGACCCGCGCCACUGGCACUGAGACACUGGCCAGACACCUACGGGUGGCUGCAGUCGAGGAUCUUCGUCAAUGGGCGCAAGCCUGAACGAGCGAUGCCGCGUGAGCGAUGAAGGCCUUCGGGUUGUAAAGCUCAAAAGGGGUGAGAAAGGGCAACUUGAUCGAACCCCAGUAAGCUCGGGCUAAGUUCGUGCCAGCAGCCGCGGUAAGACGAACCGAGCGAACGUUGUUCGGAAUCACUGGGCUUAAAGGGCGCGUAGGCGGGUGCUCAAGUCCGGGGUGAAAUCCUCCAGCUCAACUGGAGAACUGCCUCGGAUACUGGGUGUCUCGAGUGUGGUAGGGGUAUGCGGAACUAUCGGUGGAGCGGUGAAAUGCGUUGAUAUCGAUAGGAACUCCGGUGGCGAAGGCGGCAUACUGGACCACUACUGACGCUGAUGCGCGAAAGCCAGGGGAGCAAACGGGAUUAGAUACCCCGGUAGUCCUGGCCCUAAACGAUGGGUACUAGCUAGUAGGGUUCACAUGGCUUUACUGGCGAAGCAAAAGUGCUAAGUACCCCGCCUGGGGAGUAUGGUCGCAAGGCUGAAACUCAAAGGAAUUGACGGGGGCUCACACAAGCGGUGGAGCAUGUGGCUUAAUUCGAGGCUACGCGAAGAACCUUAUCCCAGACUUGACAUGUGC